rnacentral:rRNA from 1 species
GACGAACGCUGGCGGCGUGCUUAACACAUGCAAGUCGAACGGAAAGGCCCUGCUUUUGUGUGGUGCUCGAGUGGCGAACGGGUGAGUAACACGUGAGUAACCUGCCCUGGACUUUGGGAUAACUUCAGGAAACUGGGGCUAAUACCGGCUAGGAGCUCCUGCUGCAUGGUGGGGGUUGGAAAGUUUCGGCGGUUGGGGAUGGACUCGGGGCUUAUCAGCUUGUUGGUGGGGUAGUGGCUUACCAAGGCUUUGAAGGGUAGCCGGCCUGGGAGGGUGACCGGCCACAUUGGGACUGAGGUACGGCCCAGACUCCUACGGGAGGCAGCAGUGGGGAAUAUUGCACAAUGGGCGGAAGCCUGAUGCAGCAACGCCGCGUGCGGGAUGACGGCCUUCGGGUUGUAAACCGCUUUAGCCUGUGACGAAGCGUGAGUGACGGUAAUGGGUAAAGAAGCACCGGCUAACUACGUG